rnacentral:rRNA from 1 species
AUGUCUAUUGUUGGAUUUGGCGGACUCGGCAAGACAACUCUGGCCAAAGCAGUGUAUGACAAGAUCAAAGUGCAGUUUGAUAAUGUAGCUUUUGUUUCCGUAUCUCGGAAUCCUGACAUGGCCAAGAUUUUAAAGAAGGUCUUAUAUGAACUUGACAAGAGCAAGUAUGCAACCAUCAACGAAGCUGCUAGGGACAAUGAACAACUCAUCGAUGAACUGAGAAUGUUUCUUCAGGACAAGAGGUACCUCAUUGUAAUCGAUGACAUAUGGGAUGAAAAAGCAUGGGAACUUAUUAAGUGUGCUUUCACUGACAACUGCCUUGGUAGUCGAGUAAUGACUACCACCCGCAUAGCCGGUAUAUCUAAUGUAUGUUGCUCUUCUAGUGAUGAUAUAGUAUAUCAGAUGAAACCACUUCCUGAUGAUGACUCUAGAAAACUCUUCUACAAAAGAAUAUUUCCUCAAGGAAUCAAGUGUCCUGAUGAGUUGGAGGAGGUAUCUAGAAAAAUCUUAAAGAAAUAUGGUGAAGUACCACUAGCCAUCAUCACUAUUGCAAGUAUUUUAGCUAGCGAUGGUCCAGAUAAACAGAUCAAGCCAAAGUAUCACUGGGACAACAUACUUGGCUCUAUUGGUCGUGGACUUGAAGAAGGUGAUAGUGCAAAGGACAUGCAGAGAAUAUUGUCCUAUAGUUAUUAUGAUUUACCUUCUCAUCUGAAGGCUUGUUUAUUAUAUCUCAGUAUAUUUUCAGAGGAUUUUGAGUUAAGGAGAGACCGAUUGAUAUGGAUGUGGAUAGCCGAAGGCUUUGUGCAAGGUGGAAAAAAAGAAACUGGACUAUUUGAGCUCGGAGAGAGUUACUUCAAUGAACUUGCAAAUAGAAACUUGAUUCAACCAAUAGAUGUUGAUGCUACAGGUAAGGUGGAAACUUGUCGCAUGCAUGAUAUGGUGCUUGAUUUGUUAUGUUCCCUGUCGAGUGAACAAAACUUUGCUACAAUAUUAGAUGGUACUCAAUAG